AGAGUUUGAUCCUGGCUCAGGGUGAACGCUGGCGGCGUGCUUAACACAUGCAAGUCGAACGAAGCGCGCGGAAGGAAGGCCUUCGGGCCGGAGAGCCGCGGGACUGAGUGGCGGACGGGUGAGUAACGCGUGGGCAACCUGCCCCGUACAGGGGGAUAACAGCCGGAAACGGCUGCUAAUACCGCAUAAGCGCACAGCGCCGCAUGGCGCGGUGUGAAAAGCUCCGGCGGUACGGGAGGGGCCCGCGUCUGAUUAGGCAGUUGGCGGGGCAGCGGCCCACCAAACCGACGAUCAGUAGCCGGCCUGAGAGGGCGGCCGGCCACAUUGGGACUGAGACACGGCCCAAACUCCUGCGGGAGGCAGCAGUGGGGAAUAUUGCACAAUGGGGGAAACCCUGAUGCAGCGACGCCGCGUGAGCGAAGAAGUAUUUCGGUAUGUAAAGCUCUAUCAGCAGGGAAGAAAAAAAUGACGGUACCUGAGUAAGAAGCACCGGCUAAAUACGUGCCAGCAGCCGCGGUAAUACGUAUGGUGCAAGCGUUAUCCGGAUUUACUGGGUGUAAAGGGAGCGUAGGCGGCGCGUUAAGUCUAGAUGGAAAACCCGAGGCUCAACCACGGGAGGUGCAUUGGAAACUGGGCGAGGUGGACUGCCGGAGAGGUAAGCGGAAUUCCUAGUGUAGCGGUGAAAUGCGUAGAUAUUAGGAGGAACACCAGUGGCGAAGGCGGCUUACUGGACGGCAACUGACGCUGAGGCUCGAAAGCGUGGGGAGCAAACAGGACUAGAUACCCUAGUAGUCCACGCCGUAAACGAUGAGGACCAAGUGUUGGGGGUGAAACCUCAGUGCUGAAGUUAACGCAGUGAGUCCUCCGCCUGGGGAGUAUGCACGCAAGUGUGAAACUCAAAGGAAUUGACGGGGGCCCGCACAAGCGGUGGAGUAUGUGGUUUAAUUCGAAGCAACGCGAAGAACCUUACCAGGCCUUGACAUGGGAUGCGAAGAUGCAGAGAUGCAUCGGAGGUCAACAUCCACACAGGUGGUGCAUGGUUGUCGUCAGCUCGUGUCGUGAGAUGUUGGGUCAAGUCCCGCAACGAGCGCAACCCUUGUGGCAUGUUGCUAACAGGAAAAGCUGAGGACUCAUGCCAGACUGCCGGUGACAAACCGGAGGAAGGCGGGGAUGACGUCAAAUCAUCAUGCCCCUUAUGGCCUGGGCUACACACGUACUACAAUGGCGGCUACAAAGAGCAGCGAGACAGGGAUGUCGAGCGAAUCUCAUAAAAGCCGUCCCAGUUCGGAUUGGAGGCUGCAACCCGCCUCCAUGAAGUUGGAAUCGCUAGUAAUCGCGGAUCAGCAUGCCGCGGUGAAUACGUUCCCGGGCCUUGCACACACCGCCCGUCA
rnacentral:rRNA from 1 species